rnacentral:rRNA from 1 species
UACCAGCACCCCGAGUGGUCGGGACGUUUUAUUGGGCCUAAAGCAUCCGUAGCCGGUUCUACAAGUCUUCCGUUAAAUCCAGCUGCUUAACAGAUGGGCUGCGGAAGAUACUAUGGAGCUAGGAGGCGGGAGAGGCAAGCGGUACUCGAUGGGUAGGGGUAAAAAUCCGUUGAUCCAUUGAAGACCACCAGUGGCGAAGGCGGCUUGCCAGAACGCGCUCGACGGUGAGGGAUGAAAGCUGGGGGGAGCAAACCGG